GACGAACGCUGGCGGCGUGCUUAACACAUGCAAGUCGAACGGACAGGCCCUGCUUUUGUGGGGUGCUCGUUUGGCGAACGGGUGAGUAACACGUGAGUAACCUGCCCUUGACUUUGGGAUAACUUCAGGAAACUGGGGCUCAUACCGGAUAGGAUCUCCUGCUGCAUGUUGGGGGUUGGAAAGUUUCGGCGGUUGGGGAUGGACUCGCGGCUUAUCAGCUUGUUGGUGGGGUAGUGGCUUACCAAGGCUUUGACGGGUAGCCGGCCUGAGAGGGUGACCGGCCACAUUGGGACUGAGAUACGGCGCAGAAUCCUACGGGAGGCAGCAGGGGAGAAUAUUGCAGAAUGGGCGGAAGCCUGAGGCAGAAACGCCGCGUGCGGGAUGACGGCCUUCGAGGUGUAAACCGAUUUCGCCGGUGACGAAGCGUGAGUGACGGUAAUGGGUAAAGAAGCAACGGCUAACUACGUG
rnacentral:rRNA from 1 species